rnacentral:sRNA from 1 species
AAAAAAAACACCAAAAAAAAA